AGAACUUGAGAGCGGUAGAAAUGUGAUUGAAAAUGUCUUUAUACAAGAUACAACAGUGUCUCUGUUGGACCAAAUGUGAUAGCUGAGUGGGUAGAAAGUUCGCUCAUUUGCGUGUAGUGCUGUGUGGCUGUAAUGCAGCGCAGUAAAGCCGCCGUGAGUGUGGAGGUGAAGCAGGUGAUAGGAGCUCUGUGCAGACUGCUGACGGCCACCGGCCUGGAAAGUGUCCCCGCACCGGAAACCUUCAGGCGGGCUAAAUUUGGUGGUGGACUCGAGGUGACAUCUUUCUGAUCACUGUUGAUUUCCAGGAGGAUCAGUUUUGGCAGCUCCUCACCAACAUCCUUCAGACAGCUGGCAUUGUUUCCUGUGAAGCUGGUGCACAGCUAGGUGGAGCCCCAGAGCACCGGAAGCUGGUAGUUGCAGGCCUCUGGCAGACUGGAUACCAUGCUGACUGGAUGUGUGGCAGGGAGGGAGGAGAAGGGGGCAAGGGACAGAGUUUUUCCAGCAGAGACCUCCUCCUGGCGCUGGCCUGGCUGCUCACCGCUGGAACACUGGAGAAACUGCUGACACAGCGAGUGCAGCGAUUGGACAAAACAUUACUCACACCUCCACCUGUAAUGGUGAACACUCACCCGUCCGGUGAGCUCCAGUUAGACUCGGCAUCUCUGAGGAAACUUCAGUGGCUCAUUGGUUGUUUGAGAUACCAGUGGCGGACCCUGCUGUCCAUGCAAGAAGAGCGAACUCAUCUGCUCCAUGCUGUCUGUAUUGCCCCCCUCCCCCCCCUGCAUCCUCUGAUCAGAGCUCAGCAGUUCUAAGGGAGGACUGUGUUUGUAUGCGGCAGCUCUGUGAGCUCCUAGAAGCAUAUCUGAACUGGAGACAGGUGGAGAAAGUCUUCUGGACCUGGAUGGACAGUGUGGUGGACUGCCAUCUGACAGAUCCUGAUGUUGAGAAGCCUACAUAUGCACCCAAUGGGAGUGUGAGAGUGUGUCACCACGGAAACCGGGGGCUGGAGAAAUUGGAGGAAAUGCUAUUGAGACUGCCCACAGGACAGAAAGGACAGAGUAGAGGCAGAGGGGACGCAGCGGACAGAGGAGAAAGAGGAGAGAGGUUGCAGCAACAAUCGGACACCUCCUCCCUCCCUCCUCUUCUCUCCUCUCUCCCAUUCCCUCCCUCCCUCUCCCAGGUCUACCGAGCCAGGCUCCAGACUGAGAGGCCAGUCAAAAACAGGAGCCACCUACCAGAGGGGCCCCGUGGCAGGGCUGAGGCUCCACACGAGCUCCCAGCGUCUCAGGCUGCGCAGCUGCUUCUUCAGACAGAGGCUUUGCUGCUGGAGCGGAGGGACAGGCAGAGACAGGCCAAUAGGAUGCGGCUGCAGGAGAUGGUUGGCAGGCUGGAUGAACUGGUGUUGAUACCCCCAUAGACUGUUUUUGAUUUCCAGGCAGCGUGGGAUAUGACUGCUAUUUCUGUGAUGGAAGUGUUCUGAUAUUCAGGAAGCUGAUUUAUUCAUUCAGAAAUAACAUCCAUCAAAGGAUGGGUGAGUUUGGCAAAAAUUCACUUUGCAUGUGGACGCAAACCAGAUAUUUUCUAGCAGUUUUUACUUUCACAAGGAAAUACAUUUUUAACAACUUAAGUUUGUUGUAGCUGAGAAUGAUGUUAAUCUUUUAUGUGUCAUUUUUAACAAAGUUACAAAGUGCUACAAAAACACCAGGUGAAUCAGAAAAAACUAUAUACAUAAAGCUAAUAAAUAAUUAUUAAUAUAUGCAAGCUGUCCUCCAUGUUUACAAUUUAUGUAUUAUGUAUGUUUUAGACAGUUAUCUAUUUCACCAACGGUCUUGCAAUACGUGUUAGAGAAUAAAAUGACAUUCCUACUGCCCAGACAUUAGCGCUAAUAUUAUCAAGGUCAGCAGUCAAAGCCAUUGUAGAUGAAUGAGAAAUGGAAUUAAUAUCUAUGUGUCCUCGCGAUGUGAGUGUUUAAGAACUUUAUUGUAUAAGUCAGGAAAAUAAGAGCUGGAGUCAUGUGGUUAGCCCUGAUUAGUGUGAAGACUAGCAGGGGGAAAAGCUAGCCUGGCUCUGAAAAAAUAUGAAUGUAUUGAUAUGAUGUAAAUAUUCUCAUCUCACUCAGGAAAAGUUGCAAACAAGUGUAUCUCCCAGCAUGUUGAACUACUAAUGUACUAAUGUUUUUGUAAAUGUAUUUGACUGCUAUAUGGCUAAAUGUGUCUCCAAAAUGUAUAUAACCAGCAUAAACACUGACAUCCUG